UUACAAGGCAGUUGGCUUCUCUGAAGGUGCCUGCUCGUGGGGACAGCUUGCAAAUGUCCUGGAGCCAUGCCAGUAACAGCUCAGCGGCUUUGGGCUGUGGGAACUCCAUGUUCGUGAGGGAACAGAGGCCACUUUGAUGUAGGGAUGAACCAGGGUUGCUAGGGCUUUUGCAGCCCCAAGCAGGUGACCUCUGAGAAAAGACUGGAAGAGGGAGGAGACAUGGAGGUCCUGUGGAGCCAUGGUUGAAGGCCUGGAGCAGGAGCCUGAUGCAGGCAAAGAUCCACAAA